rnacentral:rRNA from 1 species
UACGUAGGGGGCUAGCGUUGUCCGGAAUCAUUGGGCGUAAAGAGCGUGUAGGCGGCUAGGUAGGUCCGUUGUGAAAACUCGAGGCUCAACCUCGAGACGCCGAUGGAAACCAUCUGGCUAGAGUCCGGAAGAGGAGAGUGGAAUUCCUGGUGUAGCGGUGAAAUGCGCAGAUAUCAGGAAGAACACCCGUGGCUAAGGCGGCUCUCUAGUACGGUACUGACGCUGAGACGCGAAAGCGUGGGGAGCGAACAGG